CAGAGAGUAGUUUAUAAAAAUAUUGGUUUUGGGAAUCAAUGAUGCUUGCGAGAUUGGCCUGUCUGA
rnacentral:tRNA from 1 species